rnacentral:rRNA from 1 species
GACGAACGCUGGCGGCGUGCCUAAUACAUGCAAGUAGAACGCUGAAGAGAGGAGCUUGCUCUUCUUGGAUGAGUUGCGAACGGGUGAGUAACGCGUAGGUAACCUGCCUUGUAGCGGGGGAUAACUAUUGGAAACGAUAGCUAAUACCGCAUAACAAUGGAUGACUCAUGUCAUUUAUUUGAAAGGGGCAAAUGCUCCACUACAAGAUGGACCUGCGUUGUAUUAGCUAGUAGGUGAGGUAACGGCUCACCUAGGCGACGAUACAUAGCCGACCUGAGAGGGUGAUCGGCCACACUGGGACUGAGACACGGCCCAGACUCCUACGGGAGGCAGCAGUAGGGAAUCUUCGGCAAUGGGGGCAACCCUGACCGAGCAACGCCGCGUGAGUGAAGAAGGUUUUCGGAUCGUAAAGCUCUGUUGUAAGUCAAGAACGAGUGUGAGAGUGGAAAGUUCACACUGUGACGGUAGCUUACCAGAAAGGGACGGCUAACUACGUGCCAGCAGCCGCGGUAAUACGUAGGUCCCGAGCGUUGUCCGGAUUUAUUGGGCGUAAAGCGAGCGCAGGCGGUUUGAUAAGUCUGAAGUUAAAGGCUGUGGCUCAACCAUAGUUCGCUUUGGAAACUGUCAAACUUGAGUGUAGAAGGGGAGAGUGGAAUUCCAUGUGUAGCGGUGAAAUGCGUAGAUAUAUGGAGGAACACCGGUGGCGAAAGCGGCUCUCUGGUCUGUAACUGACGCUGAGGCUCGAAAGCGUGGGGAGCGAACAGG